CCCUCUGGGGCACCUGGCAUUGGCCACUGUCAGAAGACAGGACACUGGGCUGGAUGGACCUUUGGUCUGACCCGGUCUGGCCGUUCUUAUGAAGCAGUAAGGGAGCUCAAGCCUGAGUGCAGCAGAAUACUUAAGUAUAAGUUCAUUCCUGUUCCCAAAGCACCUAAGCAUAUGCUUAAUGUUAAAAAUAAAUUAAUGGGACAUAGGCAUAUGCUUAAGUGCUUUGCUAAGGGAUGAUUUGCUGAAUUGAGCCCUGAAAGUACUAGUUCCAUGGAAAGCCACACUGUUCCCCCUUUAAUUCCCUCCUGAGCAUUAUUAAUUUUAGGGUAUGUCUGUACGUCAAAAAAAGACCCACAGCAGUGAGUCUCAGAACCAGGUCAACUGACUCAGGCCCAUGCCGCCGCUGCGGGGCUAAAAAUAGCAGUACAGACAUUCCCACUUAGGCUGGAGCCUGGACUUUGAAACCCAGCGAGGCGGGGGGGAGUCUCCGAGCCUGGGCUGCAGCUGGAGUCUGAACAUCUAUGCUGCUAUUUUUAUCUCUGCAGCAGGCGCCCCAGGAGCCCAAGGCAGUUGACCCAGACUCCAAGGCUUGCGGGGCUUUUUGUUGGGUUGGUUUUUGCUGUGUAGAUGUACCAGCAGGGCCUAGUCCGGCUCUCCUUGAAGUCAGUGGCAAAAGUAGCGUUCAUUUAAAUGGGAACAAGAUAGAGACCUUCUUCCAAAGAGCAGCCCAAGCCAAUAUAGACUCCUUUAGAUGCACAUUGGUAGGCUGCUCCAGUCCACUUCAGGCAGCAAGAUGUUCCAUGCUACAGGUAAUGCUGCUCUGAGGUGUCUGGAUUCUCCAAAUACACUCUAAUGAUGGUGCAUCCUCAAAUGCUAGGGCUAAAAGUGAAGGGAAACGGUGCUGUAUGCCAACAGGUGAAGAAAUCGUUCAUUGUAAUGCAAGAGAUUUACAGCUUUUAAUGUUACUGAUAACAGCAAUAU